rnacentral:rRNA from 1 species
UACGUAGGGGGCAAGCGUUGUCCGGAUUUAUUGGGCGUAAAGCGCGCGCAGGCGGUCUUGUAAGUUGCGAGUGACAGGUGGUGGCUUAACUGCCACAGGCCUUGGAAAACUGCAAGACUUGAGGACUUCAGAGGGAUGCGGAAUUCCAGGUGGAGCGGUGAAAUGCGUAGAGAUCGGGAAGAACAUCGGUGGCGAAAGCGCUCUACUGGACCGCAACUGACACUCAGGGACGAAAGCUAGGGGAGCGAAUGGG